GUUGUCAGGAACAGCAAGAGGAUGGGUUCAAGGGACUCAAAGCUCUUCAAAGGGAAAUUGAAGUUGCGACAUCUUAAAACAAGGGCUAAGGAAACAGAACAGUACAGAAUGGAACAGAACAGAACAUUAUAAGCCACUAUGAAGAUAUUCACAGAACCAGCGGCACUCGAGCCAAGCAAGCAUAGUACCAUUUCAGAACGGCAAGCAACUUCAUUCUCCAUUUACCAGAGAACCAUUUAUCCCAAGAGUGUUGGAAGGCAAGCAAGUGGAUGGGGAAAAUGCUUUAACAGUUCCCUGUGGGAUAAUCAAUCAUCACUCAUCUUGGAACUGCACUCAGCAUC